GCCCACUGUCCUUACAUAGCACCAUGUGUCUGAAACACUCUAAGUGCUUCCCAGACGUUAGCUCAUGCAGCCUCACAACUCCCCAGUGAGGUAGGUGGAAAGGUCUGAUGCCUGCUUCACGUGAACUGAGCAUCAACGCGCACUCCACCAACAUCCCAACCCAGGAAGGAAAACAAGCUAGCCACAGAAGACCACCCAAUUUAUCUCCUUUCUCUGUCAGCAAUCCAAGAGUCAGGAGGCUCCUGGGAAAUGUAGUUCAAAGGCACAAGAUUUCCAAUUACAUUCAAGGUAAGUUCUAACAACGAAAUAGCUAUAUGGUAGUAGAUAGAUAUAGUAGAGGAUCUAUGGUGGUGAGUAGUCUGAUAUAAACGUUGCUAGUUGAUUGAGAAGUGAAUGAUUCAUGGUAGCCCUAUUUUUUCUUGGAUGAAAUGUCCCAUGGAGAUUGGUGUGACAUGCUCCCCUCAUGCCAAAUGAUGUUUUGGAAGGUCUGCAAGAUUUUCUGUUCAGAGAAGAAUAAAAUUUUUUAAACUAAGUUUUGUAGGUUAAAA
rnacentral:lncRNA from 1 species